GUCAAGUUAAGAAGCGCAUACGGUGGAUGCCUUGGCAGUCAGAGGCGAUGAAAGACGUGGUAGCCUGCGAAAAGCUUUGGGGAGUCGGCAAACAGACUGUGAUCCAGAGAUCUCUGAAUGGGGGAACCCACCCGGCACAAGCCGGGUAUCUUGCACUGAAUCCAUAGGUGCAAGAGGCGAACCAGGGGAACUGAAACAUCUAAGUACCCUGAGGAAAAGAAAUCAACCGAGAUUCCCUAAGUAGUGGCGAGCGAACGGGGACUAGCCCUUAAGUUGAUUUGAGUGUAGUGGAAGGCUCUGGAAAGUGCCGCCGUAGUGGGUGAUAGCCCCGUACACGAAACGCUCUUAUCAAUGAAAUCGAGUAGGACGGGGCACGAGAAACCUUGUCUGAACAUGGGGGGACCAUCCUCCAAGGCUAAAUACUACUGACUGACCGAUAGUGAACCAGUACCGUGAGGGAAAGGCGAAAAGAACCCCGGAGAGGGGAGUGAAAUAGAACCUGAAACCGUAUGCGUACAAGCAGUGGGAGCCUACUUUGUUGGGUGACUGCGUACCUUUUGUAUAAUGGGUCAGCGACUUAUAUUCAGUGGCGAGCUUAACCGAAUAGGGGAGGCGUAGCGAAAGCGAGUCUUAAUAGGGCGCUUUAGUCGCUGGGUAUAGACCCGAAACCGGGCGAUCUAUCCAUGGGCAGGUUGAAGGUUAGGUAACACUGACUGGAGGACCGAACCGACUACCGUUGAAAAGUUAGCGGAUGACCUG
rnacentral:rRNA from 1 species